UCUCUCUCCCCUCACGCGCAGAAGGCCCAUCCGCCGAAGAAAGCAGCAUAGAGAAUUCUCGGAUCGCCAGACUCCAGAUCUAUCACCACCUGCGAAGAGAGAGAAGAGAGAGGAGAGAAGAGCCAAAGGAAAGGGGCUUUUAGAUGGAGGGGAAGAAGGAGGAGGAGGUGAAGGGUAGGAGGAAGGAGGCGAAGCGGAGGCACGGGUCGACCACCUUGUUCGUGAUGGUGGACUACCUCUUCCUCCUCGUCUUCUUCUGUUUCCUUUGCUACUUCCUCCUCAAGAUCUUGCCCGCGUUUUCUCUAUUCUCCUUCACCACCUCCUAACCACAAGAAUUCCAUCUUUUUCCGAGAUCAUUUAGUCUUGGAAGCGCGGCGCGUGAUUUGAUCCCGAGCAAAACCUGUUUGUUUGAGUGAAACUGUUGAGAAUAUUUGUAUUGUUUUUCUGCUUUUAACUUCUAAAUUUGUUGCAAGAUGAAAUUUUUUGCGAGAUGAUGAUCGGUAAAUAAACAGAUCAUGAUGUGGUUGGCAUGGCAUCUCUUGUGUU